UCGGCCUCCCAAAGUGCUGGGAUUACAGGCGUGAGCCACCGCGCCCAGCUGCAAAUGCAACUUUUUAAGGAUCAAUGAAUGAACUUCUUUCAGGUGAAGCGUUUUAGUACCAACUCAGUUUUAAGCUGAUUUUUAACAUUCUCCUUCGCAGGCCUUCCCACCUCCGUCUUUGAGAGGCAAUUUCCCAAGGCAGGACCUUGCCACGUGGCCCACUGUAUGUUUCCUAGCUAGCUGGCUCUAUAGACUCUUCCGUGUACAUAAAUUCAGUCAUUCUUUUCUCAAAACAUAGAGUAAACCUCUGAUUUGAAAGAGACUCAAGCCUUAGAUACACAAAUAUCCUGCAAUCUAGAAGUCAAAUGGGAGUGGAAGCUUUCAUGUCUUAGAGGCUAGAACCUGGAAUAACAGUACCCCCAGCAGACUUACCAUGAAGGGCUCUGUCUGUGUGUGCACAACUUCCCAGGCCUGAUAUGUGUGCAGCAAGGAUGUCCUCAAGUGGCUCUCGUGCACGUUGCCCUCCACCCAUGGUCCCCACAGCCGGACCAGCUCCACACACAGGGAAGGAUGGAAAGGACACCCAGAGCCAACCUGGCCCUGGGACCUCCCCUCCUGGCUUUCACGGCUCCUCAGAUUGGGUCAGUCACACGGAAAGGAUUUUCUGGAAGGAGCGCACCAGAAUUUCUGUUCUGGAAAGACGGUGGAAGGCAGAGCUGAGUUCAUUGCUUAUGGAGGGGAGAGAAUAGCCCCUGCACAGAGCCUCCAGCGCGGCUGCCAGGGGAAGUGGAGAGGCUAGGAUCUCACUGAGAAUUUCAAGAUUGGUUUAAGGAGGGCCUUUCAAUGCAGGGGCUUGCUUGGGAUUGGGGGAGAUCAUGAUAUAGUAGUUUCAGGUUGGUGGAAACAGCUAGGCGAGGGGUUUGAAAUGUCUCAGGUGUGAAAUGUCUGUUGAUGCUUCUAUUAAAUAAAGCUCGCCUAUUAAAGAGUUGAUGGGCCUCUUGGGAAAUUCCUGUAAUAAACAAUGAAGUUAUUUGCCUGGGCAAGAGUCUCUUGGAAUAGUAAAGUUAUUGUACCAAAGACAACGGGAGAAAAAAUGUCAUGUUAAUGCAGACAAUAAACUUGGGGGUGGAAGGGGAUAGUUUCUGCCUCAAUCUGACUAGUCAUUAGGCCUAAAGACCUGAGGGCUAGGACACAUGUCAAGUAUCUUUCAAUACAUUUAAAAAGUUAAAAAUUCGGAGGUAGGAGCGAUGUGGGCUGGGAACGCCUGGCGCGCCGCACUCUUCUGGGGGCCCCGCCGCCGCCGCGCACAGUCAGCGCUGGCCCAGCUGCGUGGCAUUCUGGAGGGGGAGCUGGAAGGCAUCCGCGGAGCUGGCACUUGGAAGAGCGAGCGGGUCAUCACGUCCCGUCAGGGGCCGCACAUCCGCGUGAACGGCGUCUCCGGAGGAAUCCUUAACUUCUGUGCCAACAAUUACCUGGGACUGAGCAGCCACCCUGAGGUGAUCCAGGCAGGUCUGCAGGCUCUGGAGGAGUUUGGAGCUGGCCUCAGCUCUGUCCGCUUUAUCUGUGGAACCCAGAGCAUCCACAAGGAUGUAGAAGCAAAAAUAGCCCGCUUCCACCAGCGGGAGGAUGCCAUCUUCUAUCCCAGCUGUUUUGACGCCAAGGCCGGCCUCUUUGAGGCCCCGCUGACCCUGGAGGACGCAGUCCUGUCGGACGAGCUGAACCAUGCCUCCAUCAUCGACGGCAUCCGCCUGUGCAAGGCCCACAAGUACUGCUAUCGCCACCUGGACAUGGCCGACCUAGAAGCCAAGCUGCAGGAGGCCCAGAAGCAUCGGCUGCACCUGGUGGCCACUGACGGGGCCUUUUCCAUGGAUGGCGACAUCGCACGCCUGCAGGAGAUCUGCCGCCUCGCCUCUAGAUAUGGCGCCCUGGUCUUUGCGGAUGAAUGCCAUGCCACUGGCUUCCUGGGGCCCACAGGACGGGGCACAGAUGAGCCGCUGGGUGUGAUUGACCAGGUCACCAUCAUCAACUCCACCCUGGGGAAGGCUCUGGGUAGAGCAUCGGGGGGGCUACACGACAGGGCCUCGGCCCCUGGUGUCCUUGCUGCGGCAGCGCGCCCGGCCCUACCUCUUCUCCAAUAGUCUGCCACCUGCUGUUGUUGGCUACGCCUCCAAGGCCCUAGAUCUGCUCAUGGAGAGUAACACCAUUGUCCAGUCUAUGGCUGCCAAGAUCCAGAGGUUCCGUAGUAAGAUGGAAGCUGCUGGCUUCACUAUCUCGGGAGCCAGUCACCCAAUCUGCCCUGUGAUCCUGGGUGAUGCCCGGCUGGCCUCUCACAUGGCGGAUGACAUGCUGGAGAGAGGCAUCUUUGUCAUCGGGUUCAGCUACCCCGUGGUCCCCGAGGGCAAGGCCCGGAUCCGGGUACAGAUCUCAGCAGUGCACAGCGAGGAAGACAUUGACCGCUGCGUGGAGGCCUUCGUGCAAGUGGGGCGACUGCAUGGGGCACUGCCCUGAGCUCUGGGUAAGGACGAGAAGAGCCAAGGUCCACCUACUGCCACAGGGUCAACGGAGGUUUUUGAUCAGCCCAGACCACAGGCUCUGAGCCCUGAACCAAAGUCCCAGAGCUGGGCUGGGAUGUGGCCUGUGCUGAGGGCUGUGAGAAUGUGAAACAACAGUGUGAAAAUUGGCUGUGGCAAAAAAAAAAAAAA